AGUCCUACGGGAGGCAGCAGUGGGGAAUAUUGCACAAUGGGGGGAACCCUGAUGCAGCGACGCCGCGUGAGUGAAGAAGUAUCUCGGUACGUAAAGCUCUAUCAGCAGGGAAGAAAAUGACGGUACCUGACUAAGAAGCCCCGGCUAACUACGUGCCAGCAGCCGCGGUAAUACGUAGGGGGCAAGCGUUAUCCGGAUUUACUGGGUGUAAAGGGAGCGUAGACGGCACUGCAAGUCCGGAGUGAAAGCCCAAGGCUUAACCA
rnacentral:rRNA from 1 species